UGUGCAAGUUAGUAAGGGUCCGGGGUGGAUGCCUCGGCUGCCCGAGGGGACGAAGGGCGUGUUAAGCUGCGAUAAGCCGGGUGGAGGCGCAAAAAGCCUGUGAGGCCCGGAUGCCCGAAUGGGGAAACCCGGCAGGGCGUUGAGCCCUGUCAUCCGCGCAAGCGGAGCCAAUACGGGACGAAGUAAAACCUUCUAGUAGUCCCAGGAAAGGAAAUCAAACGAGACUCCCCGAGUAGCGGCGAGCGAAAGGGGAUCAGCCCAAACCGUGCGGGUGCCAUGGUGGCAGCCUUAGCUCGCACGGGGUAGCGGGACGCAUCCGGAGAGGUCUGCCAGCCUCUCAGGGAGUUACAAAACUUCCACUUAGCCGAAGUGAGCUGGAACGCUCCGCCACAGAGGGUGAAAGCCCCGUAGGCUAAAAGUGAGAAGUCUCCUGGGGAUGCGAUCCCAAGUACCACGGCCCCCGUGGAAGGUCGUGGGAAUCAGGGGGGACCUCCCUCCAAGGCUAAGUACUACGGGCAGACCGAUAGCGCAUAGUACCGUGAGGGAAAGGUGAAAAGAACCCCGGAAGGGGAGUGAAAUAGAACCUGAAACCCCGGAUCCACAAGCCAGUGGAAGGGUCCUUGUGGCCCGACUGCGUGCCUUUUGCAGAAUGAGCCAGGGAGUUGUCCUCAGUGGCGAGGUUAAGCCGUAAGGCGAAGCCGUAGCGAAAGCGAGUCCGAAUAGGGCGCUUUAGUCGCUGGGGGCAGACGCGAAGCGGAACGAUCUACCCAUGCCCAGGGUGAAGGACGGGUAAUGCCGUCUGGAGGCCCGAACGGGUCGGUGCUGCAAAACCGUCCGAUGAGGUGUGGGUAGCGGUGAAAAGCCAAUCGCGUUCCGUGAUAGCUCGUUCUCCCCGAAAUAGGUCGACGCCUAGCGUCACCCGUUCCUUCUCGGAGGUAGAGCCACUGGUUGGGCUAGGGCCUCGAAAGGGGUACCGAACCCUGCCAAACUCCGAAUGCCGAGAUAGGUAGGGUGGCAGUCAGUCCCCGGGGGAUAAGCUCCGGAGGACAAGAGGGAAACAGCCCAGACCGCCAGCUAAGGUCCCAAAAUCCGGGCUAAGUGGGGAAGGAUGUGCGGCUGCUAAGACAGCUGGGAGGUUGGCUUAGAGGCAGCCAUCCUUUAAACAGUGCGUAACAGCUGACCGGCCGAGCGGCCGUGCGCCGAAAAUUUAGCGGGGCUCAAGCCCGGUACCGAAGCUGCGGGCUCGCUUAAAGGCGAGCGGUAGGGGAGCGUUCCCUGUGGGUUGAAGUCUCACCGUGAGGUGGGAUGGACUGCAGGGAAGUGAGAAUCCUGGCAUGAGUAGCAGCGAAGACAGGUGAGAAACCUGUCCGCCGGAAGCCCCAGGUUUUGGCGGCAAUGUAAAUCAGCCGCCAGUUAGCCGGGACCCUAAGGUGAGGCCGAAAGGCGUAGCCGAUGGGAAGCGGGUCAACAUUCCCGCGCCAGCGGUGUGGAGCCAGAGUCGUGACGCAGGAGGCUAGGGAGAGCCACCUAUGGAAUGGUGGUCUAAGGUAGUAGGAGGGGGUGGCAGGCAAAUCCGUCACCCCAUACUCCGAGAGCCGAUGGGGUAACUCUCCUGACGCCACACUGCCAAGAAACAACGGCGCUGGCGUUGAAGCAUCGCUGCCCGUACCGCAAACCGACACAGGUGGGCUGGGUUAGUAGCCUAAGGCGUCGGGGGAACUCUCCUCAAGGAACUCGGCAAAUUGCCCCCGUACCUUCGGAAGAAGGGGGGCCCGUGGGAGUGAAACCUUUACGGUGUAAGCUCUUGCGGGUCGCAGAGACCGGGCGGUGCCGACUGUUUAUCAAAAACACAGGACUACGCAAACCCGAAAGGGGAUGUAUGUGGUCUGAAGCCUGGCCAGUGCCCGUAGGUUAAGGGGAGGAGUGCAAGCUCCGAACCGAAGCCCGGGUAAACGCCGGCCGUAACUAUGACGGUCCUAAGGUAGCGAAAUUCCUUGUCGGGUAAGUACGGACUUGCCCGGGGUGAAGUUCCGACCUGCAUGAAUGGCCCAACGAGUGCCGCGCUGUCUCGAGGAGAGUCCCGGCGAAAUUGUAAUGCCGGUCAAGAUGCCGGCUACCCGCGGCAGGACGGAAAGACCCCGUGAAGCUUCACUGUAGUCUGGUACUGAGUCUUAGCCUGUCCUGCGCAGGAUAGGUGGGAGCCUGUGAAGUCCCUCCUCCGGGAGGGAUGGAGGCGCCGGUGAGAUACCACCCUGGACAGGCUGAGACCCUAACCCAGCGGAGUUAACCUCCGCGGGGACCGUGCCAGAUGGGCAGUUUAGCUGGGGCGGCUGCCUCCUAAAAGGUAACGGAGGCGUCCAAAGGUACCCUCAGGCGGGUCGGAAAUCCGCCGUAGAGUACAAGGGCAGAAGGGUGCCUGACUGUGAGGCCGACAGGCCGAGCAGAGGCGAAAGCCGGGCCUAGUGACCCACCGGUUCCUUGGGGAAGGGCCGGUGAUCAGCGGAUAAAAGCUACUCCGGGGAUAACAGGCUAAUCUCCCCCGAGAGCCCACAUCGACGGGGAGGUUUGGUACCUCGAUGUCGGCUCCCCCCAUCCUGGGGCUGAAGCAGGUCCCAAGGGUUGGGCUGUUCGCCCAUUAAAGGGGGACGCGAGCUGGGUUCAGAACGUCGCGAGACAGUUCGGUCCCUAUCCGCCGCGGGCGCAGGAGUCUUGAGAGGGUCCGUCCUUAGUACGAGAGGACCGGGACGGGGCAGGCUCUGGUGUACCGGUUAUCUCUCCAGAGGUAGCGCCGGGUAGCCAUCCUGCUACGGGAUAAGCGCUGAAAGCAUCUAAGCGCGAAGCCCACCUCAAGAUAAGGACUCCCUGAAGGGCCGUGGAAGACUACCACGUUGAUAGGCAGCAGGUGGAAGCUCCGUAAGGGGUGAAGCCAAGCUGUACUAAUAGCCCGUUCGGCUUGCACAC
rnacentral:rRNA from 1 species